ACAGGACUCCGGUAAUGCCUAUGACGUGAACAUGCAAACUGAUGGGGGCACAAGGACCGGUGGAACCACUGACCAUGGGACUGGUGACUCCUCAAAUUGGAGGGACCACAAACUGCCUCCAAGCACACUCGAUAGAUCUAAGGCAUACACCAACUAAACAGCCUGUUACAGUCCUGAACGCUAAACCCCACAGCUACACAUCACACCACAGACCACAGAGGUUUCAGAUUUCUAAGGCCAGAAUCAGGAACGAAGACAAAUCACUCUCACCAUCACAUUGCAUUAUUGUUAUUGUCAAAACCUGCACAGGAACUGUACUGAUCAUUCAUCUGAGUACAUCCGAGUCUGAGAGUGUGAAGAUCAAGAUUCAAGAUUAACUUUAUCUGUGCCACAAAGUGAGAAAUUUGUCUUGGGCUGUUUACCCAUGCUGCAGCCAUAAAAAGACAACAGUCGACAUCAUUCACAUUAAACAUAAAACCAUGAAUAUCAUUACAUAAUGUAAAGAAUAAAAUAACAUCAGGUUCUCAAAAUACCAGUGAAAAAAUGCAAAGAGAAAUUAUAGUCCGGAGCCUAUCCUGUCUUAUUUGCCCCCUUCUUUUCAAAGUUUUAAAGACACAGGGAUGAAUGAAUCUUCAAACCUGUUCAGUCUACAACGAUGAACUCUGAACCUCUUACCAGAGGGCAGGAGCUCAUAGUCUGUAUCUAGAAUAGAAAGUGUAGGAUUAUCUCCAGCUUGGCCUACAUUAAAAAAACGUUUCAAGGUCUUGAAAACAGCUAAUUUGUCAGCAUUCGAUUAUGAUGAUUUUACUUUGGCAUAUAUUUGGUGGUUGGUGUUGAUUUGAGUGAAUAUUCUUCCAGAGUUAAAGCUAAUAAAACUCUAGAGUUGUCAUGCAAAAGGUCAGAUGUCAAAUACUUUCCAAUGACUGCUCAUGUUGAUUCUUUUAAAAAUCGUUCUUAGAAGCUGCAAUUGUGUAAAAGACAACAAGACCAUCACAGUGAAACCUUUACUUUGUGUGCUACCAUUUGUGUUAACUUAUUAUUAAAUAAGUUGACGGCUAAAACUUUAACGGUUAGCGCUGACGUUAGGAGGCAGUCUGCCUAACAACCAACAUGUGGGCUAACGAUAUCUAUAACGAUAGGCUUGUAGCUAACGGUUGUGCCUGUAAUCCAAACUGCUUAACAGCAAUUUAGCGCAGCUGUUUAAACUUCAGACAGGUCGCCUAGGGUUUUAAAAAGUUUGGCUUGCUAGUUGAGAAGAUAAGGGGCUGCAUGUGUGUCCUCACUGGGUGAUAUUGGAUCGUUAUCUUAAACUGAGCGGAUUUUAUACAGUUUUUGUGCUGAUCUAAGAUAGUCGCUGUUCACAUAUUUAUUGAAGUUGUGUUUACAUCCUGACAUCAAUCAAUCAAUCCAAAAAAUAUAAUCGAUAGCUGUGGCUUUCCAAGGGGAAUAAACAUCCUGAAAAUACUCCUGCAAAUGGCCUUGGGACUUUUUGCUGUUGUAGGAAACUAUUUUUUAGUUAUAUGCUUCCAAAAUAUAGUUUUCCUUUAGCUGUUUGUGUACUUGUGUUGAUGAUGAUCAUUUGUGAUGUGAUAUUUUUCUAACUUUGGGUGCACUUUUCAUUACUGAUGAUGGGAUCGAAUGUUUGUUUGUAUUUUAUUCUUUUUGUAUAAUUUUUAUUUUUGUUCCAAUCUUUAGCGAUGUUUAUGGCUGAACAGUGACUGGUCUGGCCAGCUGGUGCAGAUAAAGUCUAUGUAGUGUAACCUAUUGUUAACCCUCUUGAUCUGUUUGUCCUGGAAAUAAAGACAGUUUAAAAGCCACCUUUCAUCCCAUCCUGGUUGAUUGUGAUGGGAGUGGCACCUGGCCCUAUACUGACUAUUCAGAGCAAACCAAAAGGUUGCAAAACACUGAGCAGGGUGGAGUUGUCAUUCUUGUAAUGCCAGUUGUCACGCACUGACAUUCAAUCCACAGAUCUGUUCAAAUGAAACACACCCUGGUGAAACACUAACUUCAGUGGUAUGCUUCUGUUGACCCUUAAAAACCUAGAAACCACAUGUUUAUUAAUGUCUUGCACAUGUAAUUCUACAUGGACACAAAAUGUUCUACUUAGGUUAAACAUUAUUAUAUUUUUGUCCAAUGCUCAGUGGGCAGUGCAGUGUUGGUGUCAUGAUGUCAACCAGUGGAGGGCUCUGACGUGGGCUUCAAGUGUCAAACUUUUUUCGAGAUUCUUUGGGAUU